rnacentral:misc_RNA from 1 species
GAUGAAGAACGCAGCGAAAUGCGAUAAGUAAUGUGAAUUGCAGAAUUCAGUGAAUCAUCGAAUCUUUGAACGCACAUUGCGCCCGCCAGUAUUCUGGCGGGCAUGCCUGUUCGAGCGUCAUUACAACCCUCAGGCCCCCGGGCCUGGCGUUGGGGAUCGGCGGAGCCUCCCGUGGGCACACGCCGUCCCCCAAAUGCAGUGGCGGUCCCGCCGCAGCUUCCAUCGCGUAGUAGCUAACACCUCGCGACUGGAGAGCGGCGCGGCCACGCCGUAAAACACCCAACUCUUCUGAAGUUGACCUCGAAUCAGGUAGGAAUACCCGCUGAACUUAAGCAUAUCAAUAAGCGGAGGA